GAAUAUUGGACAAUGGGCGAAAGCCUGAUCCAGCCAUGCCGCGUGUGUGAAGAAGGUCUUCGGAUUGUAAAGCACUUUAAGUUGGGAGGAAGGGUUGUAACCUAAUACGUUGCAAUUUUGACGUUACCGACAGAAUAAGCACCGGCUAACUUCGUUCCAGCAGCCGCGGUAAUACGAAGGGUGCAAGCGUUAAGCGGAAUUACUGGGCGUAAAGCGCGCGUAGGUGGUUCGUUAAGUUGGAUGUAAAAGCCCCGGGCUCAACCUGGGAACUGCAUCCAAAACUGGCGAGCUAGAGUACGGUAGAGGGUAGUGGAAUUUCCUGUGUAGCGGUGAAAUGCGUAGAUAUAGGAAGGAACACCAGUGGCGAAGGCGACUACCUGGACUGAUACUGACACUGAGGUGCGAAAGCGUGGGGAGCAAACAGG
rnacentral:rRNA from 1 species